AAUAAAAUUGUAAGGAAAAUAAUCAUUUCAUUUAAAGUCCCAGAAAAGCAGAUAAAGGAGAUAUAAUAAAUCAAUACCGGUAUCAAGAAGGGGAAAAAAAGGUAGCAAUAACAACAAGGAUUCAAAAAAUAAAUAGCAGGUAAAAAUUAAAUGCCAUAUGCAGGUGCAUUAAGAUCAUAGAUAAGCCAAGGACAAAAACCAAGCGAGUCAUGAGAGCACUGAUCAUCAUUGAGAAACAGUAUUCUGAACUCUCUUUCAUCAUAAGAAUUUGAAUAACCAACUUCUAGAAACAUUUGCUAUGUGCUUG
rnacentral:misc_RNA from 1 species